GACGAACGCUGGCGGCGUGCUUAACACAUGCAAGUCGAACGGCAAGGCCCUGCUUUUUUGGUGUGCUCGGGUGGCGAACGGGUGAGUAACAGGUGAGUAACCUGCCCUUGACUUUGGGAUAACUUCAGGUAACUAGGGCUACUCCAGUAUAGCAGCUCCUGCUGCAUGGUGGGGGUUGGAACUUGUCGGCGGUUGGGGAUGGACUCGCGGCUAUCAGCUUGUUGGUGGGGUAGUGGCUGACCCAGGCAUUGACGGGUAGCCGGCCUGAGAGGGUGACCGGCGACAUGGGGACUGAGGGACGGCCCAGACUCCUACGGGAGGCAGCAGGGGGGAAUAUUGCACAAUGGGCGGAAGUCGGAUGCAGCAACGCCGCGUGCGGGAUGACGGCCUUCGGGUUGUAAACCGCUUUAGCCUGUGACGAAGCGUUAGUGACGGUAAUGGAUAAAGAAGCACCGGCUAACUACGUG
rnacentral:rRNA from 1 species